UACGGGGGGGGCAAGCGUUGUUCGGAAUUACUGGGCGUAAAGGGCUCGUAGGCGGCCAACUAAGUCAGACGUGAAAUCCCUCGGCUUAACCGGGGAACUGCGUCUGAUACUGGAUGGCUUGAGAUUGGGAGAGGGAUGCGGAAUUCCAGGUGUAGCGGUGGAAUGCGCAGAUAUCAGGAGGAACACCGGUGGCGAAGGCGGGUCUCUGGGCAGUAACUGACGCUGAGGAGCGAAAGCGUGGGGAGCGAACAGG
rnacentral:rRNA from 1 species